GGAUGGAUGGAUGGAUGGAGUGUGAUUCCAACUGAACUCUGUCCUUGUCAGUGGGACUCGGGUCAGGGUGCCUUUCAGAGGUGUGGGUGGAUCUGGGGGGGAUAAACACCCUCACAGUGAAACUCCGCUCUGGCUAAAGGUGAGAAGGAUGCAGACAGCAUGUCAUGAAGUAGUAAUAUGUGUGUCUGCGUCCCAUCCUGGACCCACAGUGGAGUUCCACAGCGACAAGGACCAGAGUUCAGUGGAAUCACACUGGGAGGGGGGAGGAAGCUUUCAUGGGCCGCUGCACAGCAGUGGCCCGUGACAAGGUAAGUUUUAGGUUUUGAUUAUAUAUUCAUAAUAAACAAAGUUUUUAAAUAUCCAAUAGGAGGUGAGCAAUAUUCUGACAUGGUCUCCUGUUGUUUUUUCCAGCCCCAGCAGACCCAUGAAGAUGACCAACCGAGCCCACCAGAGACGACCCCAGAGACUGCAACCAGAUGACAGGACAACUUUCUAAGGAGCAGAAUGCACUGCUGUUUCCUGGCCCCCAACGAUUUCAACAAGGAUGGAACAUCAAGGAGAAAAAAGUCAUUAAGAAGAAAAGGAUGAUGGGAACUAGAUCCAGGAGCAGUGCAUGAGAUGUGAGACCACUCAACUAAAACAAGAGCUCUCUCUCCAAGACACCCAGUAAAAUGAAGGAUCAGAUCAGGACAAGAAACUAGAUCAAGAGCAGCCACAGUAUGUGAACUGAGACAAUGGAAGAGGGGAUGCUUAUUAUAGUGACACAAAAGGAGGAAGUCGGAGUACAAAGAAAAAGCCACACAGCCACAGAGAGAACAUGGAUGGAAAGAACCAGACGACCAGCAGAAUCUAAGAAGAUAAAGAAACAGUUCGAUGAGCCUCCAGACGAUCAACGACAGAAGAAACAUGUCAGAGAACAGGAGGAAGAUGAAUAACAGCAUCAAAGAGUGAAAAAGAAACAGACCCAAGAAGAAGAAGACCCAAGAAGAAGAAGAAGACCCAAGAAGAAGAAACAGACCCAAGAAGAAGAGGAAACAGACCCAAGAAGAAGAAGAAACAGACCCAAGAAGAAGAGCUCCAGAUUACUCCGAAGGUUCCUCUGGAUCUGGAGCUAUAAGUUUAGAUCAGCUCCUCACCCACCUGCAAAGAGUUCAUGUUCUCUCCCUCCUCUGUACCCUCAUUCCAAACGGAGGUUUUUUUUUCAACUUCCUGGCAACAGGAAGUUUUUUUUCCUCCACACUGCUGCCAAAUGUUUGAUCUGAUCAAACUGCAAUAAGAGAGAGUCUUAAAUAAAAAGCCAAAACAAGAGAACUGUAUCUGUUUGUUCGAACAUUUGACAUUAUGGACUCUUCCUGUAGCCUUAUUCUAUGAUUAGAAAAUCAUGUUAGUCUAAAAAUGUGUUUUCAAACCACUGGUUUCUCAUAAACAUCUGUGACUCAGACAAACUGUACAGCAUUUGCAUGUUUGAAAGGUUGC